rnacentral:rRNA from 1 species
UACGGAGGGUGCAAGCGUUAUCCGGAUUCACUGGGUUUACAGGGUGCGUAGGCGGAUAUGUAAGUCCGUGGUGAAAUCUCUGGGCUUAACCCGGAAACUGCCAUGGAUACUAUGUGUCUUGAAUGUUGUUGAGGUGAGCGGAAUAUGUCAUGUAGCGGUGAAAUGCUUAGAUAUGACAUAGAACACCAAUUGCGAAGGCAGCUCACUAAGCAAAUAUUGACGCUGAGGCACGAAAGCGUGGGGAUCAAACAGG